GGAUGGAGUAGUACAGUCGUCGGAAAUCUGCGCAGGCGUUUUCACCGAAAUGCCUGGGAUUCUUGGGCCCUUGUGGUGAAAAAAUAGACCUGGGUUUGCCAGCGGACAAUUUCAUCUUAUCGUCCCCGAUGGGCAUAAUCGAAGAAAUGCGAAAUGGAAAGGAAGCGGUUUUGGAGCCCGGUCACACUUUUGAAAAUGUAGACAGAUCACUUAGACUGCACUUAAUAAAUUUAAGCUUGCCGCCCUGAACUGGAUAAAGCAGCGGAAAAAGACCGUAUAGGAUGUAAUGGGUGAGAAAGUGGUGUAAAAUUUACGAAGUGGAAACGCCGUAGUUUCGACUAAUUGGACAGGCGACUCGGAGUGAACAGCAAAUUGUAAAAAUUACCUGUGAUUUAUGGUAAUUAGUUCCACCUGAUUUAUGGUUGGAACACUUAGAAUGUGGAACACGGUGAAAUAAAAUGUUUAUUCGAACGUAGAAAAUUUUAUUUUUCUGUUUACAACUGGAAUCGGAGAAAAUGGAAAGGUGGAAUUGGAGUCUUUUCUCCGCGUUAGGGUGCAUUCAAACAGCUACGCGUCAUAUGAGGCCAUGAAAUCAAAAGUGGCAAAAAAGGAAGAGAAUAAAUUAUCAGAGCCUAAGCCAAAUUUCUUCUGUUUCCAAAGUUCAAGCCAGGUAAAGAAAAAAAAUUAUAUUUUAUAAUAAUUCAUAUAUAUUUUAAUAACCUUUUUUUGUAGCUAAACAACACUAUGCGACUAUAUUAUCGCUGAAAUGCGUAUUCGAAACCUUAGUUAUGCUUAAAAAAAAACCAUUAAUUAAGUAAGUUAAUCAUACUAUAAAAGUUUUUGUAAGUUUAAAUAUGAACUGUUAAUUUAUUUUUAAAAAGUACCUAAUAAAAAAUUUAAACCAAAACCAUUAAUUAAGUUAAUCAUACUAUAAAAGUUUUUGUAAGUUUAAAUAUGAACUGUUAUUUUAUUUUUAAAAAGUACCGAAUAAAAAAUUUAAAAAUUCGUAAA